AGCGAACGCUGGCGGCAGGCUUAACACAUGCAAGUCGAACGGGCAUCUUCGGAUGUCAGUGGCAGACGGGUGAGUAACACGUGGGAACGUACCCUUCGGUUCGGAAUAACUCAGGGAAACUUGAGCUAAUACCGGAUACGCCCUUUUGGGGAAAGGUUUACUGCCGAAGGAUCGGCCCGCGUCUGAUUAGCUUGUUGGUGGGGUAGCGGCCUACCAAGGCGACGAUCAGUAGCUGGUCUGAGAGGAUGAUCAGCCACACUGGGACUGAGACACGGCCCAGACUCCUACGGGAGGCAGCAGUGGGGAAUAUUGGACAAUGGGCGCAAGCCUGAUCCAGCCAUGCCGCGUGAGUGAUGAAGGCCUUAGGGUUGUAAAGCUCUUUUGUCCGGGACGAUAAUGACGGUACCGGAAGAAUAAGCCCCGGCUAACUUCGUG
rnacentral:rRNA from 1 species